rnacentral:rRNA from 1 species
UCAGGCCUAACACAUGCAAGUCGAACGAAGUAGCAAUACUUAGUGGCAGACGGGUGAGUAACAUGUAGGUAUCUACCCUUUGGCCUGGAAUAACACGAGGAAACUUGUGCUAAUACCGGAUAAGUCUUUACGGAGAAAGCUUUAUGCACCAUUGGAUGAGCCUGCACUUGAUUAGUUUGUUGGUGGGGUAAUGGCCUACCAAGACUGUGAUCAAUAGCUGAUUUGAGAGGAUGAUCAGCCACAUUGGGACUGAGACACGGCCCAAACUCCUACGGGAGGCAGCAGUGGGGAAUCUUGCACAAUGGAGGAAACUCUGAUGCAGCGAUGCCGCGUGAGUGAAGAAGGCCUUUGGGUUGUAAAGCUCUUUCGUCGGGGAAGAAAAUGACUGUACCCGAAUAAGAAGGUCCGGCUAACUUCGUGCCAGCAGCCGCGGUAAUACGAAGGGACCUAGCGUAGUUCGGAAUUACUGGGCUUAAAGAGUUCGUAGGUGGUUGAAAAAGUUAGUGGUGAAAUCCCAGAGCUUAACUCUGGAACUGCCAUUAAAACUUUUCAGCUAGAGUAUGAUAGAGGAAAGCAGAAUUUCUAGUGUAGAGGUGAAAUUCGUAGAUAUUAGAAAGAAUACCAAUUGCGAAGGCAGCUUUCUGGAUCAUUACUGACACUGAGGAACGAAAGCAUGGGUAGCGAAGAGGAUUAGAUACCC